rnacentral:lncRNA from 1 species
GGCUUUUUAAGGGCACAGCCUAUGUUUUGUUUGCCACUAAAUACAGAGUGAAUAAAAGUGUCUGUCAUACAACAAAUGCUAAACAAAUAAUUUUUGUUUGAUAGAAAGAAACAAGGUAGAGACUUUAAAUAAUGUAAUUAAAGAAUUGAGACUAAUCCUUUUGUUUAAGGAAAUUAAAAACUAGAUGAUAUAAAAACAAGAAAACUUCUUAAAACUAUCAAAGAGUUUAGAACAUGGUGAGAAGAACUAUGGAGCCAAAUCUAGCAAAUGAGAAUCUGAAAAAGUAAGCCUAGAAUGCUUAAGUUAUUUUUUCCCUGAGUAUAUCUGAAUCAACAAGAAACAUAUGAGCUUAAUUUUUUUUGUUAGCUACAUAGGAAGAAGGGGAUUUUUAUUGGACUUGAACUGACUUUGUAGGUCAAUUCCAUGAUAGCUAAUAUUAGCUUUUCCAAUUUGUGAUAUAUUGCUCCAAUUAUUUAGGUCUUAUUUCAGUAAAUUUUAUAGUUUCCAGUAACUAUACCUUCCUUUGUGAGGACUUUCUAAAAAAUUUUUUAUUGGUGCAUUAUAAUUAUACGUAAUAAUGGAAUUCAUUAUUACAUAUUUGUGCACACAAUAUAACAACAAAUUUUGGUCAAUUUUGUUCCCCAGUUCCCCUUUCCUCCUCCCUCUUUCUGGUCCCCCUUCCUUUAUUCUACUGGUCUCUCUUCUAUUUUCAUGAUACCCCCACCCUCCCCACUUUCUCUCUUUAUCACAACAUAUGAAAGAAAACAAAUGACUCUUGCCCUUCUGAGUUUGGCUUGUUUUUGCUUAACAUAAUGAUCUCAAGUUCCAUCCAUUUUCCUGCAAAUGACAUAAUUUCAUUCUUCUUUAUGGCUGAACAAAACUCCAUUGUGCAUAUAUACCACAUUUUCUUCAUCUACUUGUCUAUUGAUGGGCACCCAGCCUAGUUCCAUAACUUGGCUGCUAUGAAUUGUGCUACUAUAAAUAUCAAAAUGCAUCUUUUGCUAUAGUAUGUGGACUUUAAUUCCUUAGGAUAAAUAAUAAAGAGUGGUAUGGCUGGGUCAUAUGAUGGUUCCAUUUCUAGUUUUAUAAGGAAUCUCCACAAUGGUUGUACUAAUUUAUAAUCCCACCAACAGUGUAAAAGUGUUCCUAUUUCCCCACAUUCUACCAAAAUUUAUCAUUAUUUGUAUUCUUGAUGACUGCCAGAGUGAGAUGAAAUUGCGUGAGGACUUUUUUGAUUAAAGCCUAUUUAGUCUGAUAUUAGUAUACUUAUUCCUCCUUGCCUCUUUACUUACUAUUUGUGUGGAAUAUCUUUAUUCAUUUUUCCACUUUCAAUUCAUUUGUCUCUUUGGAUCUAAACUGAGUUUCUUGUACAGCAUAUAGGUGAUGGUUCAUGUUUUGUCAAAUUCAUUUUGCUAAUCUCAUUUUUUAGGGCAGUUUACAUUUAAAGCAAUAAUUACUAAGGAGGGACUUCU